rnacentral:lncRNA from 1 species
AGCUCAACUUAUGGCUAAAACACCUAAACUGACUCUGUUAUGACGGGCCACAUGUAUCACUGAAUUGAGUGCCCAGUUUGACCACUAUAAUGGUAAUAUUAUGUUCUGAGUUCUUCAUGAGAGUUGAUGCCCUAUGUCUUGAGACUUCUCUGGUUGUGGAUUGGUUUGAUUUGAGUAUCUGGAUAAGUAGGAAUUUGAUAAACAUUGGGAUUAGUUCUGCUGAAUCAGGUCUGGACUAUUGGUCUGUGUUCCUAGCCAUUUUUCACCAUCUUACAGAUUGAUCUGGGCUAUUGUCCCU